rnacentral:rRNA from 1 species
CUGCCUGAUUCAGCGGCGGACGGGUGAGUAAUGCCUAGGAAUCUGCCCGAUAGUGGGGGACAACGUUUCGAAAGGAACGCUAAUACCGCAUACGUCCUACGGGAGAAAGUGGGGGAUCUUCGGACCUCACGCUAUCGGAUGAGCCUAGGUCGGAUUAGCUAGUUGGUGAGGUAAUGGCUCACCAAGGCGACGAUCCGUAACUGGUCUGAGAGGAUGAUCAGUCACACUGGAACUGAGACACGGUCCAGACUCCUACGGGAGGCAGCAGUGGGGAAUAUUGGACAAUGGGCGAAAGCCUGAUCCAGCCAUGCCGCGUGUGUGAAGAAGGUCUUCGGAUUGUAAAGCACUUUAAGUUGGGAGGAAGGGCAGUAAGCUAAUACCUUGCUGUUUUGACGUUACCAACAGAAUAAGCACCGGCUAACUUCGUGCCAGCAGCCGCGGUAAUACGAAGGGUGCAAGCGUUAAUCGGAAUUACUGGGCGUAAAGCGCGCGUAGGUGGUUCAGCAAGUUGGAUGUGAAAUCCCCGGGCUCAACCUGGGAACUGCAUCCAAAACUACUGAGCUAGAGUACGGUAGAGGGUGGUGGAAUUUCCUGUGUAGC